GCGGCGUGCCUAAUCAUGCAAGCGAGCGAAUGGAUUAAGAAGCUUGCUCUUAGAAGUUAGCGGCGGACGGGUGAGUAACACGUGGGUAACCUGCCCAUAAGACUGGGAUAACUCCGGGAAACCGGGGCUAAUACCGGAUAACAUUUUGAACCGCAUGGUUCGAAAUUGAAAGGCGGCUUCGGCUGUCACUUAUGGAUGGACCCGCGUCGCAUUAGCUAGUUGGUGAGGUAACGGCUCACCAAGGCAACGAUGCGUAGCCGACCUGAGAGGGUGAUCGGCCACACUGGGACUGAGACACGGCCCAGACUCCUACGGGAGGCAGCAGUAGGGAAUCUUCCGCAAUGGACGAAAGUCUGACGGAGCAACGCCGCGUGAGUGAUGAAGGCUUUCGGGUCGUAAAACUCUGUUGUUAGGGAAGAACAAGUGCUAGUUGAAUAAGCUGGCACCUUGACGGUACCUAACCAGAAAGCCACGGCUAACUACGUGCCAGCAGCCGCGGUAAUACGUAGGUGGCAAGCGUUAUCCGGAAUUAUUGGGCGUAAAGCGCGCGCAGGUGGUUUCUUAAGUCUGAUGUGAAAGCCCACGGCUCAACCGUGGAGGGUCAUUGGAAACUGGGAGACUUGAGUGCAGAAGAGGAAAGUGGAAUUCCAUGUGUAGCGGUGAAAAUGCGUAAGAUAUGGAG
rnacentral:rRNA from 1 species